GGUUUUUUAUUUAAAUUAUAAAAAGAUAUUCUUUAUAUAUACAAUAAGUUAAUUUUUUCUUCUAUAAAAAUAUUAAAUUUACAUUUAAUAAUUGAUAGCCUUUAAAAAUGAUAUAAAACAAAAAAUAAAGACAUUGUUUUUAUUAAAGUAAUAUUUAAUAAAACUAAAUAUUAAAUAGUAUAUGUAUAUUUCUAAAAAUUUAAAUAUAAAAGCAAAAAUGAAAUAUUUUCAAAAUCCU
rnacentral:tRNA from 1 species